UCCUCAAUAGCUCAGUUGGCACAGCAGAGGACUGUGGAUGUAUAAACGGUGUUCCUUAGGUUGCUGGUUCAAAUCCGGCUCGAGGGA
rnacentral:tRNA from 1 species